ACAAACGACGCUCACUGUUCCUCCAUCGUUCUCACUCGAACCAAGCCCCAAAUUCAAUCCAAAUUUGGGCGAGUGAAUCCCAAAUCCUUAACCCACGCGUCCCUCCUUCUCUCAUCUUACUGUUGCUAAUGGUUUCUGACGCAAGAUUCCCCUCCCCUCUCACUUUCUCGAAUUCGAGUUGUAUCAUACGAUUGGAAGGUUCUGAAGAUGAGAUGCUGGAUGAGUGUGAGGCGUUGGAUUGAUUUCACUCAAUCCGAGCCCCAUAUUCAUCAAGGAUUCUUCAAAAGAAGCCUGAUCCGAUUUUGUGAAAGGGGGACUCUGGUAAAAAUAAUUCGAAAAGAAAAAGGCGGAAAGGCUUCUUGAACGGAUGGUUUUCGGAGUCUAUUUUCUUCUUUGAAAAAUUCUUUCAAAGUUUAAGAGAAACAUAUAUACAAUUUCUUUUACUUUUCUGAAUCGGGAUUUGAGGUCCAAGGAGAUAACAAUUGAAGUUCAAGCUUGGUUUUCUACUGUCAUCCUGCUGACUCGCUAGUGAACCUCGCUAGGAUUUGGAGUCGAGAAGUGUAUUGUCGAGUCCAUAAUUGUUAUAAAAGAGAUUUGCAACUUCAGGUUCAAUUUUCCUCUCUUUAUUUCUAUGCGACUCUGUUUUGUUUCAGUGUUUUUGAGCUAUGAGAUUCAGUCUAGAGUGGUUUAUUCUGUGUUAUGAUCGAAUUUCUUGCUGACUGAAUCUAUUCCCGGUGGUGGUAUGUGUUUGAGUAUAUAUAGUCAAUGAGAGUCGAUUUGAGUAAUCAUCUUCCACCUCCUGUAUGUCGUGAUUGUUAUUCGGGCUCGAGGUAUAUUCUGAGUUAAAUUUCAUCAUGUUCAGUUGAACGAUAUGUGCAGUUUCUUCUGGUGAGAUUCCUUUGCAAUAUGCUCUGAUGUUCAUGAUGAAUUGCUUGAGCCAUAAGUUCAGGGAGUUAACUAAUAGUUCUGUAGAUGUUAUACUGGAAAUGUGUGGUCGACCUAGAAUGAUUUUCACUGUUAGCUAUGGUGUUUUGAUUGAGGAUUCAGCACACAACUAGUUAAUGGUUGUACUAAAGCUGACCUCAAAUCAAUUGGUUCAAGUAUACUCGCAGUAGAGUUGUUGGAAGUCUUCUAUGUGCUAAUUGUUAAACUAUAGCUUUGUACAUGUUUAGUUUCCUUCAUAAGCAACAAGAGGUUGAUUUGAGUAAGAUGAGUAAAAAUCAGUAGUAAAUUAUGAGUUUACGUUAAAUUUUUGAACCAAGUUAUGUUGCCUUGAUUGAGUUUUCCUAAAAUUUUGUUCACCCUUACCUUGGUCUCAUAGUUUAAACAGUUUAGUCGAUUGUAUUUCAGAUCUUAUUUCAGUUUCAUGGUUACUAUGGUUGUCAUGGUUCAUUAGUCGAGUCAGUACAUAUGUUGAAUGUUUUUUUUUUGGUUAAUGAGAAUCCUGUUAUGUUGCUCUCUGAAUCGGGAUCUUUGGUUGAUGUUUCUACUGACUUGAUCUUAGUAUGCCCCUUUGAGAGUUUUGAAAUGAAAUUAUUAGCCUAAAAGUUUAAUAGGCGUGAGGUCUUGGUUGAGUACAUGCUUUGGUAUGAACUGUGUUGAACCACUAGAGUAUCUGUGGUUUGUUCUAUUUUCCCUGUAAGCUGAAGGAAAUGGUUAGCAAAUUCUCUGUUUAUAAUAUUGCGUUGCUCAUAGCUGAUUGAAGUAACUCACUACUCGAUGUAAUUAGGAUCGAAGUUGCUCAUAGUAUGUCAUGGAGACUUCAAAAGUUAAAGUUUGUUUUGGUUAGCAGUAGCUUAUCCCGUUUCUAUUGAAGACUUACCUUGAUAAUGUGUAUGCAUAAUGAUAAAUGCAUUUUAGCUAAGGUUUUGGACAUCAGCUGGCACCUUGCCUCCCAGCUCUUUUAACUGUUUUUUCAGAUUCUGCUUGUUUCUUUGUGUCCAUGGAGUCCCUCUUAUCCUUGUCCUCUUUAGCAAACUUCUCAGCUUCAUGAACUAUUCUAUCAACCUAAAAAAAACAGUUCACCAAAAGGUGGAUGGUAAGUAUGCUAUAGGGAUGAUUAAUGACCACUUAUGUCUUGUGAAAGUAUAUGAUUACGGAUGAUGUGCUGAAGUUCAAAGUCAUGCCACAACUUAUAUUCACACAGAUUCUGUAAUGCAACUCAAUAUUCACAUCCAAAACUAAAGUGCAAUAGUUAUAGCCCUCAUAGUGUAGCUUGGAAACCUCUUGUUAGAAUAACUCGAUGUGUGCCAUGUCAAACAAGAAUUUCAAUUGCAUGGCCCUCGUUUUAAUUAGUUUGAUUUAAUCUUUAGACAUCGAGGCGUGCCAUUUAGCAAAUUUCCAUGGCCCUCGCAAAGUUAACAACGCAUAGCCGCUUUUAGGCACGUUAUUUAAUAAUGUACAUUCCUAAACUCGGGUGCGCAUUUAUGUGACCCAAAUCCAAAUCUCAACGAUGUUAAAAUAUGUCGAAGACCAUGGGUGCAUUUAUGCGACGUGGUUCAAGACAUGUUUUAACAACGUUGCAAUAUUUUUAAAAUGACUAAAAGCAGUUAAAGUUAAAACUGAACCAUAGGUUCAUAAUUGUUUAAAAUCAGACAAUUAAGCCGAAUAUAACAUUUGAGCGACCGUGCUAGAACUACGAAAUUCGGGAAUGCCUAACACCCUCUCCCGGGUUAACAGAAUUCCUUACCCGGAUUUCUAUGUUCGCGGACUGUUAAACAUAGUCAAGCUUUUCCUUGAUUCGGGAUUCAACCGGUGACUUGGGACAUCAUAAAUCUCCCAAAUGGCAACUCUGAAUCUUUUAAUAAUAAAUCCCAUUUUGAUUGUCCUUUAUUGAAAAAACUCCUUUAUACCCUUCCCGGGGGUGUAGUGAAAAAGGAGGUGUGACAACCACUAAGCAACUUUUAGAUUACAACCUAUGCAACCUAAGAAUUAACCUCUUAAUCCCUCACUAACUUGUAACAUACCUAUUACAAGCCAUUUUAUAAUACCUCUAUUACAAAGACUUCACAACUUGACUAACUCUAGCCAAGACAUAAAUACGAGGGUUUAUGAUUGACAAGAGUUUCCUACACACUGCUUAUAAGUAAGAUAAUUAAGAGUUACAAGUAAGAACAUUAACAAAGGUACAACUCAACUAAGGACAUACAAUUACUUGAUAUGACAAAACUGGUCUAUAGUAGUGUUGUUCUUUGUUCUUGAUACACUUGAGAAUUGUUGAUCAGAAGCUUAAUCACUGUUGAAGUGCUUGAGUGAAUUUUAUAAGUGUUCAAGUGAUUUUUGUUUUACCUUCCUUGAUGUUAAUAAUACAUGUGUGACAUCACUUGCAAUGAUGUAAUCAAGGUAGGUAAAAAGCAUUUCUCAUAAAGCUGACUUCUGCACUUUUCCUGUACUAGCGUGUGCAGGCAACAACUUUUCUAGCUGGAGAAUUGACUUCGUAUAGUUACCUCGGGAGCUGGUAACGACCUGUUUCCUUAGUUGUUCCUUCAACUCUUGAAGAGUUGAACCAUAUCCCAAGCUGGAACCUUUUGAUAUUAAGGUCUUGCGAAUGUGUAAUAAGUUCCUUAUCUGGUUAUUGAUAGUAAAUUUGUUAGAUCAUCAAAAUAUAAAACAAGGUACUUGUAACCUAUUAGUUUGGUUAAAAAAAAAAAAAAACUUGAAAGGCA
rnacentral:lncRNA from 1 species